rnacentral:rRNA from 1 species
GAUGAACGCUGACAGAAUGCUUAACACAUGCAAGUCAACUUGAACUUCGGUUUGGGUGGCGGACGGGUGAGUAACGCGUAAAGAACUUGCCUCACAGCUAGGGACAACAUUUGGAAACGAAUGCUAAUACCUGAUAUUAUGAUUUUAGGGCAUCCUAGAAUUAUGAAAGCUAUAUGCGCUGUGAGAGAGCUUUGCGUCCCAUUAGCUAGUUGGAGAGGUAACGGCUCACCAAGGCGAUGAUGGGUAGCCGGCCUGAGAGGGUGAACGGCCACACGGGGACUGAGACACGGCCCUUACUCCUACGGGAGGCAGCAGUGGGGAAUAUUGGACAAUGGACCAAGAGUCUGAUCCAGCAAUUCUGUGUGCACGAUGAAGUUUUUCGGAAUGUAAAGUGCUUUCAGUUGGGAAGAAAAAAAUGACGGUACCAACAGAAGAAGUGACGGCUAAAUACGUG